rnacentral:rRNA from 1 species
GAUGAACGCUGGCGGCGUGCUUAACACAUGCAAGUCGAACGGAAAGGCCCAAGCUUGCUUGGGUACUCGAGUGGCGAACGGGUGAGUAACACGUGGGUGAUCUGCCCUGCACUUCGGGAUAAGCCUGGGAAACUGGGUCUAAUACCGUAUAGGACCACAUUUUGGAUGGUGUGGUGGAAAGUUUUUCGGUGUGGGAUGAGGUCGCGGCCGAUCAGCUUGUUGGUGGGGUAAUGGCGUACCAAGGCGUCGACGGUGAGCCGGCAUGCGAGGAUGGAGGGACACAUUGGGCCCCUGAUACGGGCCACAGUCCGAAGGGGGGCAGAAGUGGGGAAUAUUGGACACUGGGCGCAAGCGUGAGGCAGCGACGCCGCGUGGGGGAUGACGGCGUUUGGGUUGUAAAAACCUCUCGCGAGUGACGAAGCGUUUUUGUGACGGUACCUGGAGAAGAAGCACCGGCUAACUACGUG